CUCACUUUCACUCAUUAGUUUAUAUUAACUUGAUACAAGUUAGAAUCAUCUGAGAGGGUUCCUAUGAAAAUUCACAACAUGCAUUCUGAGGCAAAUAAGCUUGGGGUAGGUGUAAAUUUAACUUCAUAAUUUUACACUGCUUACCAAACCAGCUGUAAUAAUGGAAAGUUUUA